rnacentral:sRNA from 1 species
AUAUGCUAAUAAUAAUCAAGACAGUAAAGUUUGUGACGGUGGCUAUCCGAUUGAAAGUGAGGUGGUGCGUAUGUGCGUACUUCCAAAAUCUUACAGAAAGGAGAAGCCUUUUGCCUGUUGAAACGGCGCUAGGAUUAAUGAUUGGUUUCGGUUCUUUAAUCGCAACA